rnacentral:siRNA from 1 species
GUGGUUGCAGCCUUCACCCCGAUC